GACGAACGCUGGCGGCGCGCUUAACACAUGCAAGUCGAGCGAGAACCGGGGCUUCGGCCCCGGGGACAGCGGCGAACGGGUGAGUAACACGUGGGCAACCUGCCCUCGGCACCGGAAUAGCCCGGGGAAACCCGGAUUAAUGCCGGAUGGCCCCUCAGCCCUGAGGGGCGGUGGGACAAGGUAGCUUUGGCCUCCGGCCGAGGAUGGGCCCGCGGCGGAUUAGCUUGUUGGUGGGGUAACGGCCUACCAAGGCUCCGAUCCGUAGCUGGUCUGAGAGGACGAUCAGCCACACUGGGACUGAGACACGGCCCAGACUCCUACGGGAGGCAGCAGUGGGGAAUCUUGCGCAAUGGGCGAAAGCCUGACGCAGCGACGCCGCGUGAGGGAAGAAGGCCUUCGGGUUGUAAACCUCUUUCAGGAGGGACGAAGCCACUCGGGUGAAUAGCCCAGAGGGUGACGGUACCUCCAGAAGAAGCCCCGGCUAACUACGUGCCAGCCGCCGCCGUAA
rnacentral:rRNA from 1 species